rnacentral:rRNA from 1 species
GAUGAACGCUGGCGGCGUGCCUAAUACAUGCAAGUCGAGCGAACGGACGAGAAGCUUGCUUUUCUGAUGUUAGCGGCGGACGGGUGAGUAACACGUGGAUAACCUACCUAUAAGACUGGGAUAACUUCGGGAAACCGGAGCUAAUACCGGAUAAUAUUUUGAACCGCAUGGUUCAAAAGUGAAAGACGGUCUUGCUGUCACUUAUAGAUGGAUCCGCGCUGCAUUAGCUAGUUGGUAAGGUAACGGCUUACCAAGGCAACGAUGCAUAGCCGACCUGAGAGGGUGAUCGGCCACACUGGAACUGAGACACGGUCCAGACUCCUGCGGGAGGCCGCAGUAGGGAAUCUUCCGCGAUGCGCGAGAGCCUGACGGUGCAACGCCGCGUGAGUGAUGAAGGUCUUCGGAUCGUAAAACUCUGUUAUUAGGGAAGAACAUAUGUGUAAGUAACUGUGCACAUCUUGACGGUACCUAAUCAGAAAGCCACGGCUAACUACGUG